GUGGGAACGUACCUUUUGGUUCGGAACAACACAGGGAAACUUGUGCUAAUACCGGAUAAGCCCUUACGGGGAAAGAUUUAUCGCCGAAAGAUCGGCCCGCGUCUGAUUAGCUAGUUGGUGAGGUAAUGGCUCACCAAGGCGACGAUCAGUAGCUGGUCUGAGAGGAUGAUCAGCCACAUUGGGACUGAGACACGGCCCAAACUCCUACGGGAGGCAGCAGUGGGGAAUAUUGGACAAUGGGGGCAACCCUGAUCCAGCCAUGCCGCGUGAGUGAUGAAGGCCCUAGGGUUGUAAAGCUCUUUUGUGCGGGAAGAUAAUGACGGUACCGCAAGAAUAAGCCCCGGCUAACUUCGUGCCAGCAGCCGCGGUAAUACGAAGGGGGCUAGCGUUGCUCGGAAUCACUGGGCGUAAAGGGUGCGUAGGCGGGUCUUUAAGUCAGGGGUGAAAUCCUGGAGCUCAACUCCAGAACUGCCUUUGAUACUGAAGAUCUUGAGUUCGGGAGAGGUGAGUGGAACUGCGAGUGUAGAGGUGAAAUUCGUAGAUAUUCGCAAGAACACCAGUGGCGAAGGCGGCUCACUGGCCCGAUACUGACGCUGAGGCACGAAAGCGUGGGGAGCAAACAGGAUUAGAUACCCUGGUAGUCCACGCCGUAAACGAUGAAUGCCAGCCGUUAGUGGGUUUACUCACUAGUGGCGCAGCUAACGCUUUAAGCAUUCCGCCUGGGGAGUACGGUCGCAAGAUUAAAACUCAAAGGAAUUGACGGGGGCCCGCACAAGCGGUGGAGCAUGUGGUUUAAUUCGACGCAACGCGCAGAACCUUACCAGCCCUUGACAUGUCCAGGACCGGUCGCAGAGAUGUGACCCUCUCUUCGGAGCCUGGAACACAGGUGCUGCAUGGCUGUCGUCAGCUCGUGUCGUGAGAUGUUGGGUUAAGUCCCGCAACGAGCGCAACCCCCGUCCUUAGUUGCUACCAUUUAGUUGAGCACUCUAAGGAGACUGCCGGUGAUAAGCCGCGAGGAAGGUGGGGAUGACGUCAAGUCCUCAUGGCCCUUACGGGCUGGGCUACACACGUGCUACAAUGGCGGUGACAAUGGGAUGCUAAGGGGUGACCCUUCGCAAAUCUCAAAAAGCCGUCUCAGUUCGGAUUGGGCUCUGCAACUCGAGCCCAUGAAGUUGGAAUCGCUAGUAAUCGUGGAUCAGCACGCCACGGUGAAUACGUUCCCGGGCCUUGUACACACCGCCCGUCACACCAUGGGAGUUGGUUUUACUUGAAGACGGUGCGCUAACCCGCAAGGGAGGCAGCCGGCCACGGUAGGGUCAGCGACUGGGGUGAAGUCGUAACAAGGUAGCCGUAGGGGAACCUGCGGCUGGAUCACCUCCUUUCUAAGGAUGAUCCUUCAGCGAGCCUCAAGCUCACUAUCGGAUCGUUUUAGAAACAUCAGUGGCCAACAGAUCGCCAGAUCGUUGAGCUGCAUUGGCGGGAUUUCGCCGUCUUCGUUUCUCUUUCUUCGCGGACGAACACGCGCUGGGUCUGCUUGAGCAGAACCAUGGUCCUUGACGGGAUAUGCGUUAGGGGCUUGUAGCUCAGUUGGUUAGAGCGCGCGCUUGAUAAGCGUGAGGUCGGAAGUUCAAGUCUUCCCAGGCCCACCACUUUCAUCGAGUGAGCAUUCGUCUUCUGGUUACGGGGCCAUAGCUCAGCUGGGAGAGCGCGUGCUUUGCAAGCAUGAGGUCGUCGGUUCGAUCCCGUCUGGCUCCACCAGAUGGUUUGAUCACCGAGAUCUUGUACCGUCGUCCGCGAAACAUCACUUCGCAUCCUGCUAGUCUGGAUAGACAGCAAGAUGCGUGUUUUCUGACAUCGUAAAGAGGAGAUCGAUCCGAGUUGGGUCGUGCAGCAAAUUGUUGCGCGAGCCUUCAUUAUCUCCGGAUCAUUUUCGGCGCUCGCGUCCGACCGCAAGGUUGGCUGCGAGUUGUAAAAUGAUCCUUUUAGCGAAGCUUGACCGCCUCGCUAUCGGAACGAUCUUACGAAGCAAGCUGGUCUUUCUAGUCAAUGUCCGGCUGCACAUAGCGUUCAUCGAGGGCGCGUGCCGUAAGGCAAUUGUGCAGACAACAUUCUGCCGAGUGUGUGGACAUUGAUAAUGAGAGCAAUCAAGUGCCUUAAGGGUGUUCGGUGGAUGCCUUGGCGCUGAGAGGCGAUGAAGGACGUGCUACGCUGCGAUAAGCCGUGGGGAGCUGCGAAGAAGCUUUGAUCCGCGGAUUUCCGAAUGGGGAAACCCACCUUCGAUAGCCGGAACUCCAAGACCUUUGUCGAAAGACAUCGGUGUGGGGUUCGACCAGAUACCUGGAAGAAGCCAGGCCUUUAGAUUUCGAUCGAAGAGGUUUUGGAUUUCCGGUUAUCAAGAGAAGGUAUGAGACUUCUGAAU
rnacentral:rRNA from 1 species